CUCUGGUCUCUCUCCAGGUUCUCCUGUUGGAUCUUCCAGCUCCGACUCUGCAGCCUCAAGAGAAACUGCUCAUCGACCUGACCAACACCCCCGACCUGUCCACCAACGCAAGAACUGCACCUCAACUCAACUGAUCGACCUGAGCUCUCCGUUAAUCAAGUGGAGUCCCGACGAUAAGGGGGAGAACAAGGCUCCGCUCGUCAACCUGUCCUUCUGAUCCAGAUCUUACUGAAGACCUGGAUCUAAUGGACUCUGCAGUAGACUGCAGGUUUUCUAACUUUAGAAACUCUGAUAAUUAUAAUUCAGUUAAGAUAAUGAAAGAGUUGUUUUAUAAGUUAAAUCUUCCCUGACGCAGAGUAUUAUGUUUUUAGAUUUUAAAAUCUGGUGAAAUGAUGAAAAUAUUCUGCACUUGAUUGUACUUUUAUUUGUCUCCGUCUUGCUGCUCUUAUUGAUGUCUGUUAAAUAAAUGUUGUUAAUGUCACUACUGGAAA